ensembl:lncRNA
UUGCAUUGUACCCCUAAAUGACAGCUUAAAAAGUUUUAUAGAGCAUCUCAUUUUUGUGAUAUUUUAUUCUCUUGAUAUUAUUAUAGCUGGCUGAUUUUUAUUAUGUUUCAUUGUAAGCACAAAACUGAGGAAAGAUAUCACUUUAUUUACAGGUGGAAAAUGUCACAAUUCUAAUUAUCUACAUUUAGAGUGAUCAUCACUUUGCUCUUCUUGGCUCACCCUGUUAACUUAGACAAUUGGGAUAAUUUUGCUCAAUAUAUAAUCUGUUCAAUUUUGACCAGACCAUGUCAUAAUAUUGUAUUGUUAAAAACAAACUUGGUGACUAUUUGUGAGGUAUUUAUUGCUAUCACUAUUUGGCUCUUUAAAUCUAUCAAUAGUUUAUUACAAAAUGUAUAAGUAUUUGGGUAGAACAUUCACUUUCAGUCACAUUUUAUAGGGAUUAACACUGGUACAUUUCCAUUGUAUUUUACAAUUGCUAGUGGCAUAUAUUAAUAUCAAAGUCAAAUCUUCAAAUUGUGUUCACAAUUUCACUUAAAAUCUAAAGGUUUCCAUUUUAUGUACCCACAUGUUACUAUGAUAAUCAAAUGUCCAUCACCAUGGAGAUUAAAACUACUGAAAUCUUGCUUCUUAUCAACUCCUCUUUUUGCUUCAUCAAACUUCCUGUCCUGUAUUGCACUACAGACAUUAGAAUCACAAAGCUUUGUAUGCAGAGUAACAGGGUAGAUUUUUAUGAAAGCAUUGUAAUUUAUUAGAGUACCAACUGAUAUCACUUUACACUAGCAAAUAAAAAAUCUAUUUUAACCAGUCAUUGGAAUUAAAGCUCCAGUAUAAAUUCUGAAAUGUUUUUAAUAGUUGAUUUUACUAAUGACCAAUUUAUCAAAAGUCUUUAAAAGGCAAACUAAAAGGUAAUAUGUGGAAGACUCAUCAGUGAGAGGGGAAUAGGCACAGCUCUGAGAAACGAUUACAAUCUGCGAGGGUAAUGAGAAUACAGUCGCUUAUAUUCAUACCAAUUCUCAUUACCAUCUUUGUCACUACAAUGGAUUUGCAGUGCAUCAUUUUCCAUCCUUGUUAUAGUCUUUGUCAGAAAAAUGAGACCUCAUCCAUGCCAUCUGCCUUUCUCACACCCCUCCCUUAUGCUUUAUUGUAUUUUUCACAGAUUUUAUUAGAGGAAUAAAUUGAGUAGCUCAGAUGAAGUCCAUGGAAGAGCUUUGAUAACUAUCAGAACAAAGUCCCAAAUCAUGAAUCCACAGGCCAUAUAAUGGAAAUGCAUGGCCAAAUAAGAUAAUCAUAGAUAAACAUGCUGCUCUGAAAUUAAAGUAUAUGCAAAUGUAUUCUUUGUGUAAAUGACAUAAGUAAGCAAAACUUAUAGAAGAUAACCAUAGUUGUUUGUAAGAAGAAUAUUGUGAAUAUAAUUAACAAAUCACUUGGUUCCCACUCCCUUCUCCAGCUCUCUCUCUCCUCUCUGACAAAUCUACACAUGAGAGGAUAAAGAAAUACAAAGAUGUAUUGUUUCACAUUUUGCCUUUUGUUAUUUUGUCACAUUUAAGCCUAUAUGUUUUUAGAUGAGCUUUAGGUACACAGAAAAUUACAAAAGGUAAAGAGAAUUUGCACUUAUUCUCUGCUUUAACAUCUUUACUGAUUUCCACAUCCACUGCUAAGAGGAAACACUUGUUACAACUGAUCAACCUACACAGACACAUCUAGUGCCCCAAAGACUGAGUUCACCUCAGGGUCCAGUCUUUUAUUUCUUUAUUUAUUGAGAUUAUGAUGUAAUUUCAUCAUUUCUCUUCUUUUUCCUCCAUGUAAACCCCUGCAUAUAAUUCUCCUUGCUCUCUUUAAAAUUCAUGUCCCCUCUAUCAUUGCUUUUAUUACAUAAUACAUGCAUACAUACAUACAUACAUACACACAUACAUACAUACAAUUCCUGAAUACAAAGUACAAACUAUUCAGUAUAUAUAAUGUCCCAUAUUUAUAUUAUAUAUUGUAUGGACUUGGACAAAUAUAUACCUGGCAUCUACCCUUGGUAAUUGUGUCAUUCAAAUUACUGUCACUAACUUGAGAAUCCUUUGUGACCUGCCUAUGCAUCUAUCUUCCUCAACAAUUGGCAAGUUUUGACCAUUUUACUAUCCCUGAAGUUUUUACUUUUCCACAAGGCCAUAUGGUUUGAACCAUAAACUAUGUAGCCUUACAGAUUAUUUUCCUUCACAGGUCUCUUCAUGUCUGUUCAUGGCUUGACAGCUCAUAUCUUUUCAAAAAUAUAUACUGCAGUCUGUUACUCCUCAUUUUGCUUGUAGACCCAUUUUCAUGAGUCUGAGUAAUUUCACUAUAGGUACCAGUGUGCAGGUUCUUGUGGGAAUAUUCUUAAGUCCUUUAUACCAACAUGAAGGACUGGAAUUGCUUGAUCUUGUUGUAUGUAUGUAAUUAGUGUCCAGAGAAAGCAUUAAGGAUACUGUGCGCUUUGUAACCCACAACAGAAGGUUUCUUUGUUCUGGGUCUUGACCAGCAUUUGGUACUGUCAGUGUUCCAAAUGUGGGACAUACAAAAAAAGAGAUGGUGAGAUUUCAUUUUAAUUUGCAACUUAAUAAUAACAUUUGAUAGAAAAGUUCUUUUCACAUGCUAAUUUUUAUAUUUUUAGCUUUUUGGUGAUGUGUCAGUUGAGAUCUUUGCUCUAUUUAUUUUAAGUUUUCUCUAGUCUUGUUAUUGAGUUUUAAUAAUUUUGUGUGUUGAAUAGUCAUUUGUCAGAUAAAGAUUACAGUAGAUAUUUUUUUGUAGUAUGUAGCUUCUUUCUCCUUCUCUUCUCAUUAUCCUUACAGAGCAAACUACUUUUAAUGCUAAUGAAGACCAGUCUCUUUUUUUCAUUAUCUCUUUCAUGGAUUAUGUAUCUCCUGUAUAUCAAAAAAGUCAUUAUCACGGUAAGUCGUUAGUACCUCUCAGUCUCUUUACUGGUCUCUCACAUUACUCUAUUCAAUUUAAGAUUUAAAACUUAUAAUUCAGAGGCACCAUGGAUGAGAAACUCUUUACCUCUAUGAUCUCCAGCUGGGCUUGAGAAUUAAUUAGGCUUUAAACAGAUUAGCAGAAAGAAAGAAAUAUAAAAAGAAAAAUCAAGUAAUUUUGCAAAAUUUAAAUAAAUGAGGGGGUGAAAGACAAUUGGGAACAGUUCAAACGUGUUCUCUUGAAGGAAGACUCUGACACUCAGCUCUCUGGACCUGAAGAUAAAAAUGUUCUGUUUCUCCUAGUAACAGAGAUGGCAGCUCUUGAGUAGGAAUUUCCUUUCCUAUUUUUGAGAAAAUUAAGCAAAAACAAAAAAGCUUUCUUAUCCAUUAUUUUGCAAAUCACUAAUCAAACUAUAGUGGUGGAUUUUGAGAGGAUGUGUUCAGUUCCUUUCAGAAUCUUACUGUUACCUCUGAAAUCUUCAAACACUAGCUACCAACUCUUACUAAUAAAAACAGCAUUCUGAGCUUUUUAAGAAAGGUAACUCAAUUAAAUUUACAUCACUGACUCGGUUUUUUCCUUUUACAAAGCAUUUCCAGAGGGUAUCAGCUGACACAAGGUUGACACAAGACAUCUGGAUGUCUAACACCUCAUAUCCAGGGACCUCCAAGUAAACAGUGAUGCCAUCUAUCAUAUAAUUGUAGCAAAACAACAAUUUUUGUCUGAAUUUUAUAGAAAUAUGACCUUGAGUACAGAGGUGAGUGCCUUUACUUUUUGUUUUUCUCAGCCAGCCUGUGUAUGCUUGUGCAUGCCUGCUAGUAUUCCUGUGUGCCUGUGCCCCUGUGGGCCUGAGCACAUGGCUGCACCUGGUAACCUGGAAGCCUCUGUUACUGUAAAUAAAUUGUGUCUUAUAUCCCUAAGAUGCCUCCUGGCUGUUCCCUUCCCCUGUUUCUGGACUUAGAGCUUGAACCUCACAGGAUCUACCUUUUUUUCAUAAAGAAACCAAUAUUUUUCAUAGUAAUUUCAUUUUUUGCCUUUUACCUGAUAUUAUUUUUACCUAUUCUGUGUAAUUAUCAAGAAUAAAAUAUAUUGCCAUAAUUUAUAAUCAUUAUGAUAUAAAUAUAUCUCCUGACUUGUUCCUCAUAUCCAAAUGAAAUACUGCAUAACCUCACAGUGAUGAUGGACAGAGGCACCAUCAUCUUCCAACAAUGACUCAGCUAAACUAGGCUAAUCAAUAUUCUACUCUCUUUUUAAAUUUUUUUAAAUUAGUAACAAGCUUGCUUCACAUGUCAAUCCCAGGUCCCUCUUCAUCCCCUCCUUCCCUCCCCC